AGCUAUCAUCUCCUUCACUAUACAGACAAGGAAACUGAAACUAAGAGAGGCUGUGUGAUUUGUCUGAGAACACAGGGCUAGUAAGUGACAGAGUGCACUGUCUCCUGGUGCACAUACGGUGUGAGAAGAGGCAAAUAUUGGCCUCCAUUCUAGAAAGCUCUCCCGCUCUUUGGCCCCGAAGAAUCAUCUAGAAAAUGUCUUUAGCGGGGGCAAUGAGGUUCCAAAUCCGUCUCCAGGAAUUUUUCCCCCCUUCCCUCUGAGCCCAUUUCGGACCCGUCCAUGGUGUACAGGUUGAGACCAGUUCCGGCACAGCUGCACAACUCUGUCCCGCCUGAUGUAUGACCAGGUGAUCAGGGGUCUCUGUCCCCUCUCUGAGAUUCAGGCUGGUGGACCGGGGGAACAGCAAGGCGCUUAGAUGGCAUAACAGGAGGGAAGGCAGGGGGUGACCAUACUGAGCUCACUUAUUUCUCCUUCUCUGCCUUUAGUCGCAAGGUCGAAAGGCCCCUGAUUGGCAUCGGGGCUCACUCUUAUCAGAUGCUGGGACGGCUCAAGCUCAUUUUGUACCUGCAGUCCUCAGAGUGGAACAGAGGACUUCUGGAAAAGCUCCGUCUUGGACUUGGGUACCGUUCUCCAUCCUCUGCUGCCCCCUAGUGGUCUAUUAUAUGUCUGCCACCUCCAGCCUCCUUCCCAGAGGGUGGCAGAGCCUUCUAGUCAUCUCACCUUUCUUCCCUAGACAAAGACUCCUUUGCAGAAGCCCAACAGGUUUUCUGGGAAAGAGAUGUGAAACUUCUGGGAAGGUUUGGCCACACAACAUCCCAGGGCUGUGUCCAUAUAACACCAAGUUUAUCACCAAAAAACAUUUUAAUAAGAGCCUACCAUGGGAGUUCCCGUCGUGGCGCAGCGGAAAUGAAUCCAACUAGGAACCAUGAGGUUAUGGGUUCUAUCCCUGGCCUCGCUCAGUGGGUUAGGGAUCUGGCGUUGCGUGAGCUGUGUUACAGUUUGCAGACGCCGCUUGGAUCCUGCAUUGCUGUGGCUGUGGCAUAGGCUGGCAGCUGUAGCUCUGAUUUGACCCCUAGCCUGGGAAUCUCCAUAUGCUGCAGGUGCGGCCCUAAAAAGCAAAAAGCAAAAAACAAACAAACAAAAAAACCUACCUUGCCUUGAGCUGUGGCUAAGCCAGCAGCUACAGCUCUGAUAGGACCCCUAGUCCGGGAAUUUCCAUAUGCCAUGGGCGUGGCCCUAAAAAGACAAAAAAGGAGAAGAGAUUCAGAACUACAAAAUAAAAAUAAAUAAAAUGGAGUUCCCAUUGCGGUUCAUCAAGUUAAGAACUUGACAUAGUGUCCAGGAGGAUGUGGGUUUGACCCUUGGCCUUGCUCAGUGGGUUAAGGAUCCAACAUUGCCACAGUCUGCAGCGCAGGUUGCUGAUGCAGCUCAGAUCUGGCGUUGCUGUGGCUGUGGGGUAGGCUGGCACCUGCAGCUCCGAUCUAGCCACUAGCCUGGGAACUUCCACAUGCCACACAUGCGGCUCUAAAAAUAUAUUUUAAAAAACUUUUAAAAAGAAAAAAAAGAUUCAGAACUAUUCCAGCACCACAAAAAUCUCCCCCAUGCUCUGUCUUUAUAGACACACCCCUCUCCUUCUCUCAACAUUCUUAAGCACUGACUACUAUUAAUGCGUUUUCCUCUCUGUAAUUUUGUCAUUUCAAGAAUGUUAUAUAAAUGAAAUCAUAUGGUAUGUCACCUUUUGAGACUUUUUCACUCAGAAAAAAAUAUUGAGGGGCACAGUCUUUAAGGCAUUGGCCUGCUGUGGCCCCCUCUGCCUGGCAAAGCAAUAAAGCUAUCUUUUUUGCCUUUAAAAAAAAUAUUGAGAUCCAUCCAACUUGUGGCAUGUAUCAACAGUUCAUGCCUUUUUAUUGCUGAGUAGUACUCCAUAAUUGUUCAUCCACCAAGGGACAUCUGGUUGUUUUCAGUUUGGGGCUAUUACAAAUAAAACUGCUCUGAACAGUGACAUACAGAUUUUUAUGUAGACAUAAAUUUUUAUUUCUCUGGGAUAAAUGCCCAAGAGUACAAUUGCUGAUGGUUUCUUAUCGUAACUGUUUCUUAUGGCAAGUGCAUGUUUUGUUUUUAAAAGACACUGCCAGCUCUAGCUUGUCUUAACAUCUUCUUAACAGAGGCUUUGGCAGAAGCAAAAGUUUUUAGUUUUGAUGAAGUCCUUUUAUCAUUUUUUUCUCUCAUGGAUUGGAUUAUGCUUUUGGUGUCAAGUCUGAGGACGCUUCACUCAGCUCUAGGGACCAAAGACUUUCUCCCAGGUUACCUUCUAAACUUUUGUGGUUUUAUGUCUUUCACGUUAAUCUCUGCUCCAUUUUGAGUUAAGUUUUGUAUAAGAUGUGAAGUUUAGAACAAAGACUUUUUUUUUUUUCAGUUGCUCCUGCAUCAUUUGGUGAACAGACUUUACUUGUCCUCCAUUGAAUUAUUUUUGCAUGUUUGCCAAAAAUCAAUCGGCCGGUUAGUUCCUAUUGUGGCUCAGCGGUAAUAAACACAACUAUUAUCCUUGAAGAUGAGGGUUUGAUCCCUGGCCUAACUCAGUGGGUUAAGGAUCUUGGCAUUGCUGUGAGCUGUGGUAUAGGUCCGAGACUCAGCUCAGAUCCUGUAUUGUGGUGGCUGCGCCGGCCGCUGGAUGGCAGCUGCAGCUCCGAUUCGACCCCUACCUAGCCUGGGAACUUCCAUAUGCGGCAGGUGCAGACCUAAAAAAAAGGCAAAAAAAAAAAAAAAUCAAUUUGCUAUACAUAUGUGAUAUUAUUUCUGGUUCCUUUGCUUUUCCAUAUAA
ensembl:lncRNA